GGCUGAAGGGCUGAUAUGUACUCAGAACUGGUUGAAGCCAGCUCGUACAUAUUUCAAAGACAUCAGUUACAUAGAAGAGUUUGGGAUAACUGAGGAAAUCAUAUCAGAAUUUCAACAAUGCUUCAUAACCGCAAAUAUUGGGGCUGCUGGAGCUGGAGCAGCAGUUGGAGGUGCUACUGGUGCUGCUGUAGGUUCUACUCAAACACAACCAAUAGGUUGUGAUUGAGAAAUAUGAUGCUUCUAAUUUUUUUGAAAUCAUUUUGAUAUUUUGGAGUCAUAUAUGACUUGUACAUCUUGGCACAACACAUAAUUAUAUUUUGUAAGCCUUUUUUGGGAGGUCAAAUUUUCUGUGAUGAAUCUUGGCACUCACUCAAGCUUCAAUGAAAUUAGAUUAAGAUGUUUUGCUUGUUGGAAUUUGGCAUUUUGUUUUCAAAUGUUUGGCUUGCUUACUAUGAGACUGCUCAUUUGUCAAAGAGUUGUGAAUUGAAAGCCACAAAACUCUAUAACAGGUCAAGCUCUAGAAUAGGCAUUGCUGAGUUGAACCAUGGGAAAGUGAAUGCUCAAUAGAUUUAAUUGGUGUACAAACAAUAGGUUCCGUUGAUAUCAAGGUUCAGCAUAUGCAGAUUCAACAUACCCCAAUUCAACAAAUAUGCCAAUUCAACAAUGCAUAAUGGUUUAUCUAUAUCUUUAUCUCAAGAACUACAAUCACAAUAUUUGUCCUUCUUGUUGGAUGAAUUAUUGAUCAUGUUGCUUGUUGGAUGGUUUUAAACUUCUUUGAUACU